UACGUAGGGUCCAAGCGUUAAUCGGAAUUACUGGGCGUAAAGCGUGCGCAGGCGGUUGCUGUAAGACAGAUGUGAAAUCCCCGGGCUUAACCUGGGAACUGCAUUGUGACUGCAGCGCUAGAGUGUGUCAGAGGGAGGUAGAAUUCCACGUGUAGCAGUGAAAUGCGUAGAGAUGUGGAGGAAUACCGAUGGCGAAGGCAGCCUCCGUGGGAUA
rnacentral:rRNA from 1 species